GCCUUCUUAUUGAAUAUGACUGGUAUUCAUUCUUGACUACCUUUUGCCUCUAACGGUGCAUAUUGUUCUGUACUAGUCUAGAAUGGAUGGCUCUCUCACCCCGUUCUUGUGUUCGAACUUGGAUUAUAUAUUUGACAAUAUACAGAACCCAAAAGGUGUGAUGGAAUGUUCUGGUACUCUUAGGUGCACCUUUAUAAAAUUUAAAAAGAAGCGCAAAUGGAAUUCCCUUUAAAUUAUAAGAGCAUUGUUGACAAUAUAUAUGGUUCACUUGAUUGUUAUCCUAGUAAAUUGGCAGUCUUU
rnacentral:misc_RNA from 1 species